ACGUAGGUGGCAAGCGUUGUCCGGAAUUAUUGGGCGUAAAGCGCGCGCAGGCGGCCUUUUAAGUCUGAUGUGAAAGCCCACGGCUCAACCGUGGAAGGUCAUUGGAAACUGAAAGGCUUGAGUACAGAAGAGGAAAGCGGAAUUCCACGUGUAGCGGUGAAAUGCGUAGAGAUGUGGAGGAACACCAGUGGCGAAGGCGGCUUUCUGGUCUGUAACUGACGCUGAGGCGCGAAAGCGUGGGGAGCAAACAGGA
rnacentral:rRNA from 1 species